rnacentral:rRNA from 1 species
GAAUAUUGGUCAAUGGACGCAAGUCUGAACCAGCCAUGCCGCGUGAAGGAUGAAGGCCUUCUGGGUUGUAAACUUCUUUUAUUGGGGAAGAAACCUCCGAUUUCUAUUGGAGCCGACGGUACCCAAGGAAUAAGCACCGGCUAACUCCGUGCCAGCAGCCGCGGUAAUACGGAGGGUGCAAGCGUUAUCCGGAUUUACUGGGUUUAAAGGGUGUGUAGGCGGGCAAGUAAGUCAGUGGUGAAAUCUCCAGGCUCAACCUGGAAACUGCCGUUGAUACUAUUUGUCUUGAAUAUCGUUGAGGUAGGCGGAAUAUGUCAUGUAGCGGUGAAAUGCUUAGAGAUGACAUAGAACACCGAUUGCGAAGGCAGCUUACUAAACGAUUAUUGACGCUGAGGCACGAAAGCGUGGGGAUCAAACAG